AGGUGCGAAAGCGUGGGGAGCAAACAGGAUUAGAUACCCUGGUAGUCCACGCCGUAAACGAUGUCGAUUUGGAGGUUGUGCCCUUGAGGCGUGGCUUCCGGAGCUAACGCGUUAAAUCGACCGCCUGGGGAGUACGGCCGCAAGGUUAAAACUCAAAUGAAUUGACGGGGGCCCGCACAAGCGGUGGAGCAUGUGGUUUAAUUCGAUGCAACGCGAAGAACCUUACCUGGUCUUGACAUCCACAGAACUUUCCAGAGAUGGAUUGGUGCCUUCGGGAACUGUGAGACAGGUGCUGCAUGGCUGUCGUCAGCUCGUGUUGUGAAAUGUUGGGUUAAGUCCCGCAACGAGCGCAACCCUUAUCCUUUGUUGCCAGCGGUUAGGCCGGGAACUCAAAGGAGACUGCCAGUGAUAAACUGGAGGAAGGUGGGGAUGACGUCAAGUCAUCAUGGCCCUUACGACCAGGGCUACACACGUGCUACAAUGGCAUAUACAAAGAGAAGCGACCUCGCGAGAGCAAGCGGACCUCAUAAAGUAUGUCGUAGUCCGGAUUGGAGUCUGCAACUCGACUCCAUGAAGUCGGAAUCGCUAGUAAUCGUAGAUCAGAAUGCUACGGUGAAUACGUUCCCGGGCCUUGUACACACCGCCCGUCACACCAUGGGAGUGGGUUGCAAAAGAAGUAGGUAGCUUAACCUUCGGGAGGGCGCUUACCACUUUGUGAUUCAUGACUGGGGUGAAGUCGUAACAAGGUAACCGUAGGGGAACCUGCGGUUGGAUCACCUCCUU
rnacentral:rRNA from 1 species